rnacentral:lncRNA from 1 species
AAGGCAGGAGUUGUGGCGGGUGCAACCGGCUAGUUCAUCCUGCUGAGCUGUAGUUGAUCCGAUCUGCCUCCGGAUUGUCCUCAGUUGUGAUCCUGAGCUGUGGAGCUAAGUGGCGCUUGGACUGCGGCUGCCGAGUAGGGAGGCUUUUAGGACAACUCUUGGGCGAAACACGGCUGUAGUCCAUUAAAUUGUCUGGAGCUACCUGAGACAAGAGAGUGGAGGGCGGCCACAUCUCUGCAGCCUGCAUCAUGCCAGCGCUGGCCACAGGAUCGGCUUGCGACAUGGGUAUGAGAAGCCAAGGGGACAAUUUUCCCUAUAUUCUUAUAGUUUUAUUCCCAGUGACUGUGAUGUUGCAGUCCACAUUUGUCUUUCUGUGAUGAACCUAAAAUCAGUCCCAGUAAGUCCUGAACUAGACAGAAGUGACUGGGGCAUUCAGACUGCUUCCUGCUCCAGGUGGUGGCAGUGCUCAUGCCUUUGUCUUGCUUUUGGAACAGCAUUGUGCAUUUAAUUGUUAAAAAUGAACACCCAGUGUUCUGCAAAUACUGUCAUGCCAGUCUGCACCACCAUCAAUCUCUUUUAACAGCAGAUGUGACAUUUUUGCCAUACUUGCUUCAGACCUCUUGCUUUCUGUUCUAUUUAUUUAUUUUUACUCUCCUUUUUUAGUCACCAGGAAUU